rnacentral:rRNA from 1 species
GGCAAUCUUUGCAUGCCUUGGAGUCGGGUUGUUUGGGAUCGCAGCCCAAAGAAGGUGGUAAACUUCAUCUAAGACUGAAUAUGACCACGAGACCGAUAGCGAACAAGUACUGUGAAGGAAAGUUGCAAAGCACUUUGAAGAGAGAGUUAAAGAGGACGUGAAACCGAUGAGGUGGAAACGGAUAGAGCCAGCGUAUCUGGCCUGUAUUCAACUGCAUUGUUGUGAGCAGUUGGGCGCUGCAUCUCCAGAUUGGGACAGUCCUAGCUUGCAAGCAACAAUGUUGUGCAUUUGCAGGUCGAGUGCGCCGAGACUUUCGAGAAGGCGAUAUGAGCUCAAUUUUGAGGCCAGCUUGCUGGUACCCGGAUUGGAGGAAUGUUGUUCGUUUUGGAUGUGAAUGGGGGAAAGGUUUUCGGGUUCGUAUGGGUUCAAAUUGGGGGGGGGGGGCAGUUGCUUGCAACAUGGGCCUUCGGCCAAUUCGGCCCGGGGGGAGCUCCAAAUCCCCCUCUCGGGGGAAAAGUGGGGCAUCUACCCAACCCGC